UCGGAGUCUGNAACCCGACUCCGUGAAGCUGGAUUCGCUAGUAAUCGCGCAUCAGCCAUGGCGCGGUGAAUACGUUCCCGGGCCUUGUACACACCGCCCGUCAAGCCAUGGGAGCCGGGGGUGCUUGAAGUGCGUCGCCGCAAGGCGCGCCCUAGAGCAAAACCGGUGACUGGGGCUAAGUCGUAACAAGGUAGC
rnacentral:rRNA from 1 species